UCGGCCCCGAUCAAGACCGGCAGUUUGUAGUAGCUGCUGGUUUCAAAGGGAGCCUACAUGAACUCCUUCCUGUGGUCUGUUGAUUUCUCCCAGAGUUACUAAGGAGCUAAUCUGUUCAGUUGGAAGGAACAAAA
ensembl:snoRNA